UGCGUCUGAAUCCAUGUUUCUAUGCCCAAAAGCCAGACAUUUUACAAUUCCUUGGGAUUCAGGCAGUGAUUAUUGCUUAAGACACCAUCUCUUUGAAGAGUAUAUUGAACAGUAAUGCAAUAAUGCUCAAUUUCAGGAGUAAAGGAUUUCACAAGAUACAAGACCCUAUAAAAGUAAGAGAUGCUGAAUGCUUCUGGAAAGAGCAGCUUUACUGCAACCUGUGUUAGCCAU